GCUGUCAGACUAGGCAUACACGCAUUCCACUAGCCAGUCGCUGGUUUCUUAAUACUGACGGACACACAAUCUAAACCAAUCAAAGACUGCAAUCCCAACGCUCCCGACCAAUCAGAGGCGUUUUAAUGGGAGAAGGCGGGAGUAAACUGUAAGAGGGUUCUUGAGAAGGAACGCAGCGGGCCGGUUGAUGCUGUUGUUCUAGCUAAGGACACAAUUUGAUAUUUAUUUAUCUUUCACCCCGUGAUCUAUUCGGUGUAACGAUGGGCUCUUUCGCGCUGCCGAUGAUCUGUUUCACCACGUUAUGGGCGCUCGUUGGUAUCGUAGCACCCUUUUUCGUGCCCAAAGGACCAAACCGAGGGUAGGUGUCCUACCUACCGUAAUCCAUGCAAAUGCAUAAAAGAAGCGAAAAAUUGUGUAUAAUGGUAAUCUGGGUUGUCAUCACUAGUUUGAUCUUGACAGCUGUUUGUUGCUGGUUAUUCUGGCUGAUAGCGAUCCUAGCCCAGGCCAACCCUCUGUUUGGACCUCAGCUGAAGAACGAGACUAUCUGGUACCUCCGCUACUUCUGGGAGUAACACCAGGGUUGGGUUCUCUUUGAUGCUCCGUUGAUCACAUAUCUUCAUUCCUUUCAUCCAUCCUGGACUGGAUUCCUGAACCCGUCUAUUCCCUCCUCUUUACAUCUCCGGCUACAUUCCUCCAUCCCUCCAUCCCAAUGUCUUUCUUACGUCACUGCAAUGUUGUCAGAAUAUUUUUGCAUCGCCAUCUGAACCUGCAGCAGUCAAGUCAGAUGGGAGAGAAUCUGCACUGUCCAAUUUACAGUAGCUAUUACAGUGAAAAAAUGCCAUGCUAUUGUUUGAGGAGAGUGCACAGUUAUGAACUUGAAAAGUUAUUAAUAAACCAAUUAGGCACAUUUGGGCAGUCUUGAUACAAAAUGUUGAACAGGAACGCAAUGGUUCAUUGGAUCAGUCUAAAAAUGUGCACAUACACUGCUGCCAUCUAGUGGCCAAUAUCUAAAUUGUGCCUGGGCUGGAAUAAUACAUUUUGGCCUUUCUCGUGCAUUUCAAAGAUGAUGGUAAAGAAAAUACAAAAAAACGCAUUGUUUUUUUCUUUGUAUUAUCUUUUACCAGAUCUAAUGUGUUAUAUUCUCCUACAUUCAUUUCACAUUUCCACAAACUUCAAAGUGUUUCCUUUCAAAUGGUAUCAAGAAUAUACAUAUCCUUGCAUCAGGUCCUGAGCUACAGGCAGAUAGAUUUGGGUAUGUCAUUUUAGGCGAAAAUUGAAAAAAAGGGUCCGAUCCUUAAGAGGAUUUAUUAAACAAUCAUGUUCUGUUGGGAUCAAAUCUGUGACAAUAUAGAUAAGUGAUGUAUAAUAAUCCUUAGACAGAAAAGUAUAUGACACUAUAUAUGUAAGGAUUAUAUGAAACGUAUAUCUAGGUCAUCAUGCUGCUGAUGGUCCAACGUGUUGUAGAAUGCAUGCACAAUUCUAUUUAUUGGAUAGCAGGUAUGAAAGUAAUAUGAAAUAUCAAAUGAUAUAAUAUAAUUGUAUACGUUACAUAUAAUCCUUACAUGUGAGAAAUGUUCUAUUUUUGAGCAAAACAAUGUAUUUGUUUUGAUAAUGCACUGGAAGGCAUAGCUCACGCUGAUAAACUCGAUAUUACCAGGUAGCACAUAGAUGUCACUUGUGUCUCUAGCUCCAGUUAAAACGUGUAAUCUUGGAGGUUUACUUGACCUGUUGUUGUUAUUGUUUACAUUUCCUGUACAUGUUGUUGUUAUUAUUAUUAUUAUCAUCAUAAGAAAGUCUUAAUUGAAGUUUAGUAUUUAUUUUUACUGAGGUCCUGGCUGUUACAUAAGUUGACUGUUAUGUUAUGUGGAGUCAGUGUCUGUAUUAUGUUACUUUGAGGAUUAUUGUUGAGUCAUUCUGUGUGUAAAUACUAGUACAUUACCAGGAGUGGUUGGCUGGCCGACGGCCAUGAGAAACUACACUCGAGAGCCCCACUCCAUUUUAAGCGGCUUUUAAAAUCUCAACCACAGGACAACUCCUUACUCUAUCCUCUCUCCUUUCCCAUCAUCGCUCUCCAGGAUCGUUAUGGUCCUCCUAGGGUUGCAAAAUUCCAGUAACUUUCCCCAAAUUCCCUGGUCAGAAAUCCUGGUUGGAGGAUACCCAGGUUUCCUACGCAUUCCCUUCUAAUUCCAAGAAUAUCCCUACUGGGAUUUCUGGAAACCUGGGAAUUUGGGGAAAUUUCCUAGAAUUCUUCAACCCUAGGUCCUCCUAGUUACCAUGGUGAUCAUGAUCACAAUAUCAGCCAGUGUUUGUCGUCGACCACAAUACAACUAGUCUUGCUGCAGGGACAGGGUUGGAGGAGUCAAUUCCAAUUCAACAAUUAACUCCCAUCAAUUCAGGAAUUGAAUGGAAAUUGCCCUAUAAAAUGAACUGAAAAAAAUCAUAAUUCUAAAUCGGAACAUUUCCAUUCGUAAAUAAACUUCAGUUGAACUUGAAUUGACCCCAAACCCUGCAAGUGCUUGCUAUCAACCUCUGCUCCUUCUUGUGUAAACGAUGUGUGAUGCUUUCUGUAGGAAGGCACCCCAGCUCCAGCCAGCCACAACAACCUUCCCUGCCCUCCCUCCACCCCCACCCAGAGAGAAGCCAUCUUAGCCAUCAUGCCAGUCUUGUUGGUGCCAUCAUGCCAACUCCUUGUCAUUCACUGUCAUACUAAACAUGUUUGGCUUGACAAUCACACCAAUGUAGUUGGCAAGAUUGCACAAACACAUCUGGGACGAGGCUAGGGCCUCCUAUCUCUGAGACAGCUUGUUCCUCAGCUCAGCCAAAAAGUCAAGAAAGAUACAUCAAUAUACAGCUACUUUUGAGAAAGACCAAAUGAUGUUGUGUUUUCCUUUAAGCCUUGUUGAUAGUUGUGGUGGCGGUUUACAGAGGGAUCAAAAGUGAUAGAUCAAGGCUACGUCCCAAAUGGCAACCUAUUGCCUAUUCUCUACAGCGCACUCCUUUUAAUCAGUGCCCAUUGGGCUCUGGUCAAAAGUAGUGCACUAUGUAGGGAAUAGGGGGUAAUUUAGGACACCCCCUGAAGUAGACAUGAUUCAGCCCAGGGCUGACAUGAAUAGAUCCGUUUACAUGAGAGAAAGCUGUUCUAUGUAUUCCAGCUAUGUAGAUAUGUGGAAGCCUAGGUCCAUUAUUACGAACACUAGGUUACAACGUGCACAACAGCUUGUCCAUUGUGGUCACCAUGGAAACAUUGAGCGUAUAGAUGUGUGUGUUUUUGACACUGGAAAAAGACUUGUCUGACUCAGGCCUUGUGUAAGUGUGAUCUAAUGUGUAGGUGUAUACAGUGACAUUGUCCAUGUGAAUCCUUUAGUAAAAACCCUAUUUCAAUGUCUGCUACACUGUGCCCUGUCUCCUUCUGAAUCCUCCUCAGCCUGCACCUGAUACUUGUCUCUAUCGUACACACACACACACACACCUGAUAUUAUGAGC
rnacentral:lncRNA from 1 species